CAGCAUCCAGCCGCCCGUCUUUGUAAGGAGACCACUGAGGCGAGCAGGAGCGUGGAGCAGCAGCUUCCUUGCUGCCCUGACUUUUUAAGAAAUCUCAAUGAACUGUUCGUAGACAAUCACUGAUCCUGCCUGCAAGAUAUUUGUUCUUGUUGCCUUUGCACGGCAAAGACACCGAUCAGUGUUAAGUGAAGAUCACAUUUUAUAUGCGAUCUUGACUUUUUUGGUCUUACAUUAUAUUUUUAUAGAUUUUUGUUAUAAUCAUGGUGCUGGGAAAGGUGAAGAGUUUGACAAUAAGCUUUGACUGUCUUAAUGACAGCAAUGUCCCCGUGUAUUCCAGCGGGGACACUGUCUCAGGAAGGGUGAAUUUAGAAGUUACUGGGGAAAUCAGAGUAAAAUCUCUUAAAAUUCAUGCAAGAGGACAUGCGAAAGUACGCUGGACUGAAUCUAGAAACGCCGGCUCCAAUACUGCCUAUACACAGAAUUACACUGAAGAAGUAGAAUAUUUCAACCAUAAAGACAUCCUAAUUGGGCACGAAAGAGAUGAUGAUAAUUCGGAAGAAGGCUUCAACACUGUUCAUUCAGGAAGGCAUGAAUAUGCAUUUAGCUUUGAGCUUCCACAAACACCACUUGCUACCUCAUUCGAAGGCCGACAUGGCAGUGUGCGCUAUUGGGUGAAAGCCGAAUUGCAUAGGCCUUGGCUUCUACCAGUAAAAUUAAAGAAGGAAUUUACAGUCUUUGAGCACAUAGAUAUCAACACUCCUUCAUUACUGUCACCCCAAGCAGGCACAAAAGAAAAGACCCUCUGUUGCUGGUUCUGCACCUCAGGCCCAAUAUCCUUAAGUGCCAAAAUUGAGAGGAAGGGCUACACACCAGGUGAAUCAAUACAGAUAUUUGCUGAGAUUGAGAACUGCUCUUCCCGAAUGGUAGUGCCAAAGGCAGCCAUUUACCAAACACAGGCCUUCUAUGCCAAAGGGAAAAUGAAGGAAGUUAAACAGCUGGUGGCAAACUUACGUGGGGAAUCCUUAUCAUCUGGGAAGACAGAAACGUGGAAUGGCAAGCUGCUAAAAAUUCCACCAGUUUCACCCUCUAUCCUCGAUUGUAGUAUAAUCCGUGUGGAGUAUUCGCUAAUGGUAUAUGUGGAUAUUCCUGGAGCUAUGGAUUUAUUUCUUAAUUUGCCACUUGUCAUCGGUACCAUUCCUCUUCAUCCGUUUGGUAGCAGAACCUCAAGUGUGAGCAGUCAGUGUAGCAUGAAUAUGAACUGGCUGGGCUUAUCCCUUCCUGAAAGACCUGAAGAACAUGUUGUUCGAAUUGCGUGUAUCUUUUUCCUUCAGCGCCACCCAGCUACGCAGAAGUGGUAACUGAGGAACAAAGGCGAAGCAACCUCGCCCCCAUGAGCGCAUGUGACGAUUUUGAGCGCGCUCUUCAAGGACCACUGUUCGCCUAUAUCCAGGAGUUCCGGUUCCUGCCUCCACCUCUUUAUUCAGAGAUUGAUCCAAACCCUGAUCAGUCAUCGGAGGACAGACCUUCCUGCCCCUCUCGCUGAAGGAACACUUGAUUGAGUCAAGUUGAUAUGGGUUCCGAACUGUAUCUCUUCCGGCUGAGGACAGAGAAGUAUCUUGGAGACACGUUUUCAGAGGAAGUGGAAUUGCUUUUGCCCCGAAAAAUGGCGGCAAAUACGUGAAACAGCCAGUGAUCACGCUUUAGAAUCCUACAGCAUCAUUCUGAGGCUGCUCCAACGUGCUUGAAGAUCUAAGCUUUUCUUUAA